AGAUUGAACGCUGGCGGCAUGCUUUACACAUGCAAGUCGAACGGCAGCACGGGGGCAACCCUGGUGGCGAGUGGCGAACGGGUGAGUAAUGCAUCGGAACGUAUCUUUAAGUGGGGGAUAACGCAUCGAAAGAUGCGCUAAUACCGCAUAAUCUCUGAGGAGAAAAGCAGGGGAUCGCAAGACCUUGCGCUUUUGGAGCGGCCGAUGUCUGAUUAGCUAGUUGGUGGGGUAAAGCUUACAAGGCUUCGAUCAGUAGCUGGUCUGGAGAGGACGACCAGCCACACUGGGACUGAGACACGGCCACGACUCCGUACGGGAGGCAGCGAGUGGGGAAUUUUGGACAAGUGGGGAAACCCUGAUCCAGCCAUGCCGCGUGAGUGAAGAAGGUCCGUUCGGUUGGUAAAGCUCUUUCACGGACCGGAACCGUAACCGGUUAACGGUUAACGUAAACCGU
rnacentral:rRNA from 1 species